AGUGUAGGCGGGAUCGUAAGUUAGGAGUUUAAUACAUGGGCUUAACCCAUGAGCUGCUUUUAAUACUGCGGUUCUUGAGUAUGGGAGAGGGCGAUGGAAUUCCAGGUGUAGCGGUGGAAUGCGUAGAUAUCCGGAAGAACACCAGUAGCGAAGGCGGUCGCCUGGCCCAAUACUGACGCUGAUGCUCGAAAGCUAGGGGAGCAAACAGGAUUAGAUACCCUGGUAGUCCUAGCCGUAAACGAUGGACACUAGUUGCUGGAGGAGUCAAUCCUUUCGGUGACGAAGCUAACGCAUUAAGUGUCCCGCCUGGGGAGUACGUUCGCAAGGAUGAA
rnacentral:rRNA from 1 species